rnacentral:miRNA from 1 species
GAUUUCUUUGUGAAUCACCAUA